rnacentral:rRNA from 1 species
UACGGAGGGUGCAAGCGUUAAUCGGAAUUACUGGGCGUAAAGCGCACGCAGGCGGUCUGCCAAGUCGGAUGUGAAAUCCCCGGGCUUAACCUGGGAACUGCAUCCGAAACUGGCAGGCUAGAGUCUUGUAGAGGGGGGGUAGAAUUCCAUGUGUAGCGGUGAAAUGCGUAGAGAUGUGGAGGAAUACCGGUGGCGAAGGCGGCCCCCUGGACAAAGACUGACGCUCAGGUGCGAAAGCGUGGGGAGCAAACAGG